UGAACCUGUGUCACCUGCAUUGGCAGGAGGAUUCUUAACCACUGUGCCACCAGGGAAGUCCCUACACUAAUCUUUUAACCUGAAGUUUUCAUUCCAGUAAACUGCAUAUGACUACAAACAAAUUUAUUAUGUUUUUUCAUAAGUUCAUUGUAUCACUUACCAAAUUUUUAAAAGAUAUUUUUUAUUACAUCUUAGGGGAUAAUCAGCAGUUAUUUGUCAUUGCCAUUUCUUAGUUAAAACUAAUUGCAGCAAUAAAGGUAAGGAAAAAUUUUCAAGGUUUUUCUUUUCUAGCUAUUAUGAGGCUUUCAUCCACUAACUCUCAUGAACAAUGAGUUUUAUACUCUGUGUGAAAGUAAUUUUGAUGUGAGCCUAUCUGGAUCAGAUUGAUUUCAGUAUACAUCAUUCCUGAUUUUAUAGCCCACUAGUCUAAUUCCUGGAGUUAUUACCGGUUUUCAGGAAAUCAGAGAAUUGUCCAGACAUUCUAGGAAAACAACGUAUAAUCUAUCUCAUUCACAAACCUUCAGUCAUCAUAGAGAGGAAGAGAGGAUAAAAACAGUUGCAGUUGGACUUUCUUCCUGCUAUCAUUCACUACUUAGCUCUUUGUUUUGCUCUAGGGUGGGACCAGAAUUAGACUGUUUCAAGUCACUUCAUGUUCCUAGAAAUCACUUGGCCUUAGACAUACAGCUCUAUUCAAUUCCUUAUAGCCUGCUGCUGCCGUAGCAGGCAAAUGCCACAUUUACGUGUAUAAUUUAAACCUGCACGGAGAACAUCUGCAGCAAAACCAGCAGAAAGAGCCACCAAGCGGUCGCAGCACGUCCGGGCAGCAGCUGUCUUGUCCACGCUCCAGGGUUCGGUGUUCAGUUGCUGAGUAGCUGUCCUAAUGUCUCGGUUCAGCCCCUUCAGGAGCCGUCGUGGGAGGGGAACACGCAAAACGCUGUCGCGAGGAAGAAACCGUUUCUACCGGAUAUGCUCAGGAGAGGCCGAUGUUCGUCGAGUGGAAUGGGGUCCAGAAGCUGACUCUCAUAUACCUCACAAGAGUAUUUAACAAGAAGGCAAAGUUUAAGUGGCUUAAAGCCAUCAUCAGGAAAUAUCGUCAGGUCAUGCUCUAAGGAAUGGUGGCGCCAGAAGAUGGAAGAAGUCCACAUCCCUGAAUCAUCUGGAAAGCUGCCUACCAAACUCACUGGACAGUUACAUGAAUGAGAAGUUACAGAAGUUCAAGUGGGAUUGUGACUGAGCUAGAAGAGGAGUUCACGAAAAUCUGAGAUAAGGAGAGGACAGAUGUCGCACCCAGAAAAGCUAACCUACCCAGGGGGUAACCGUGCCCUCUUGGCUCCUGAAGUGUGAGGAUACAGCCUCUUCAUUCUGGAAGACGGUGGAAGCCGUGGCGCUUUGUGGCAAGCUGAGAAACAUGACAGCCAAGGACAUGGAAUUAAUGGAAGUCAUAAAGUUUUACCUCCACGACAUGUGCUCUUGAGAUCAUGAAGCUGUAGUCAACGACAAGCAGCGACUGACUGCAAGCAUGGGACGCAGAACCCCUGCCUAACCACAAGGAGAGCAUCCAACAAA